rnacentral:rRNA from 1 species
AAAUUGAAGAGUUUGAUCAUGGCUCAGAUUGAACGCUGGCGGCAGGCCUAACACAUGCAAGUCGAACGGUAACAGGAAGCAGCUUGCUGCUUUGCUGACGAGUGGCGGACGGGUGAGUAAUGUCUGGGAAACUGCCUGAUGGAGGGGGAUAACUACUGGAAACGGUAGCUAAUACCGCAUAAUGUCGCAAGACCAAAGAGGGGGACCUUCGGGCCUCUUGCCAUCGGAUGUGCCCAGAUGGGAUUAGCUGGUAGGUGGGGUAACGGCUCACCUAGGCGACGAUCCCUAGCUGGUCUGAGAGGAUGACCAGCCACACUGGAACUGAGACACGGUCCAGACUCCUACGGGAGGCAGCAGUGGGGAAUAUUGCACAAUGGGCGCAAGCCUGAUGCAGCCAUGCCGCGUGUAUGAAGAAGGCCUUCGGGUUGUAAAGUACUUUCAGCGGGGAGGAAGGGAGUAAAGUUAAUACCUUUGCUCAUUGACGUUACCCGCAGAAGAAGCACCGGCUAACUCCGUGCCAGCAGCCGCGGUAAUACGGAGGGUGCAAGCGUUAAUCGGAAUUACUGGGCGUAAAGCGCACGCAGGCGGUUUGUUAAGUCAGAUGUGAAAUCCCCGGGCUCAACCUGGGAACUGCAUCUGAUACUGGCAAGCUUGAGUCUCGUAGAGGGGGGUAGAAUUCCAGGUGUAGCGGUGAAAUGCGUAGAGAUCUGGAGGAAUACCGGUGGCGAAGGCGGCCCCCUGGACGAAGACUGACGCUCAGGUGCGAAAGCGUGGGGAGCAAACAGGAUUAGAUACCCUGGUAGUCCACGCCGUAAACGAUGUCGACUUGGAGGUUGUGCCCUUGAGGCGUGGCUUCCGGAGCUAACGCGUUAAGUCGACCGCCUGGGGAGUACGGCCGCAAGGUUAAAACUCAAAUGAAUUGACGGGGGCCCGCACAAGCGGUGGAGCAUGUGGUUUAAUUCGAUGCAACGCGAAGAACCUUACCUGGUCUUGACAUCCACGGAAGUUUUCAGAGAUGAGAAUGUGCCUUCGGGAACCGUGAGACAGGUGCUGCAUGGCUGUCGUCAGCUCGUGUUGUGAAAUGUUGGGUUAAGUCCCGCAACGAGCGCAACCCUUAUCCUUUGUUGCCAGCGGUCCGGCCGGGAACUCAAAGGAGACUGCCAGUGAUAAACUGGAGGAAGGUGGGGAUGACGUCAAGUCAUCAUGGCCCUUACGACCAGGGCUACACACGUGCUACAAUGGCGCAUACAAAGAGAAGCGACCUCGCGAGAGCAAGCGGACCUCAUAAAGUGCGUCGUAGUCCGGAUUGGAGUCUGCAACUCGACUCCAUGAAGUCGGAAUCGCUAGUAAUCGUGGAUCAGAAUGCCACGGUGAAUACGUUCCCGGGCCUUGUACACACCGCCCGUCACACCAUGGGAGUGGGUUGCAAAAGAAGUAGGUAGCUUAACCUUCGGGAGGGCGCUUACCACUUUGUGAUUCAUGACUGGGGUGAAGUCGUAACAAGGUAACCGUAGGGGAACCUGCGGUUGGAUCACCUCCUUACCUUAAAGAA